GACGAACGCUGGCGGCGUGCCUAACACAUGCAAGUCGAACGAGGUCCAUGCAGUGGCAACACUGCGGAAGACCUAGUGGCGAACGGGUGAGUAACACGUGAGGAACCUGCCCCGAAGACCGGGAUAACUCUCCGAAAGGAGUGCUAAUACCGGAUACCCCCACCUGGCCGCAUGACCGGGUGAGGAAAUGGAUUCCGCUUCGGGAGGGCCUCGCGGCCUAUCAGCUAGUUGGUGGGGGAACGGCCCACCAAGGCAUCGACGGGUAGCUGGUCUGAGGGGACGAUCAGCCACACGGGGACUGAGGCACGGCCCAGACUCCUACGGGAGGCAGCAGGGGGGAAUCUUGCGCAAUGGGCGAAAGCCUGACGCAGCAACGCCGCGUGGGGGAUGAAGGCUCUCGGGUCGUAAACCCCUUUCAGCAGGGACGAAUCAAGACGGUACCUGCAGAAGAAGCCCCGGCUAACUACGUGCCAGCCGCCGCCGUAAGAC
rnacentral:rRNA from 1 species